CCUACGGGAGACAGCAGUGAGGAAUAUUGGUCAAUGGACGAGAGUCUGAACCAGCCAAGUAGCGUGAAGGAUGACUGCCCUAUGGGUUGUAAACUUCUUUUAUAUGGGAAUAAAAUGUUCCACGUGUGGGAUUUUGUAUGUACCAUAUGAAUAAGGAUCGGCUAACUCCGUGCCAGCAGCCGCGGUAAUACGGAGGAUCCGAGCGUUAUCCGGAUUUAUUGGGUUUAAGGGGAGCGUAGGUGGAUUGUUAAGUCAGUUGUGAAAGUUUGCGGCUCAACCGUAAAAUUGCAGUUGAAACUGGCAGUCUUGAGUACAGUAGAGGUGGGCGGAAUGCGUGGUGUAGCGGUGAAAUGCUUAGAUAUCACGAAGAACUCCGAUUGCGAAGGCAGUUCACUGGACUGCAACUGACACUGAGGCUCGAAAGUGUGGGUAUCAAACAGGAUUAGAUACCCUUGUAGUC
rnacentral:rRNA from 1 species